rnacentral:rRNA from 1 species
GACGAAGGGGGCUAGCGUUGUUCGGAAUUACUGGGCGUAAAGCGCGUGUAGGCGGUUGUUCAAGUCAGGUGUGAAAGCCUUGAGCUCAACUCAAGAAAUGCACUUGAUACUGGAUGACUAGAGGACCGGAGAGGGUAGUGGAAUUCCCAGUGUAGUGGUGAAAUACGUAGAGAUUGGGAAGAACACCAGUGGCGAAGGCGGCUAUCUGGACCUCUUCUGACGCUGAGGCACGAAAGCUAGGGUAGCAAACGGG